rnacentral:rRNA from 1 species
CCUACGGGAGGCAGCAGUGAGGAAUAUUGGUCAAUGGGCGCGAGCCUGAACCAGCCAAGUCGCGUGAGGGAAGACGGUCCUAUGGAUUGUAAACCUCUUUUGUCGGGGAGCAAAAGACGCCACGCGUGGCGUUCCGAGAGUACCCGAAGAAAAAGCAUCGGUUAACUCCGUGCCAGCAGCCGCGGUAAUACGGAGGAUGCGAGCGUUAUCCGGAUUUAUUGGGUUUAAAGGGUGCGCAGGCGGAAGAUCAAGUCAGCGGUAAAAUUGAGAGGCUCAACCUCUUCGAGCCGUUGAAACUGGUGUUCUUGAGUGAGUGAGAAGUAUGCGGAAUGCGUGGUGUAGCGGUGAAAUGCAUAGAUAUCACGCAGAACUCCGAUUGCGAAGGCAGCAUACCGGCGCUCAACUGACGCUGAUGCACGAAAGUGUGGGUAUCGAACAGGAUUAGAUACCCCUGUAGUC